rnacentral:rRNA from 1 species
GAUGAACGCUGGCGGCAUGCCUCAUACAUGCAAGUCGAACGACACGCCGUCUUCGGACGGAAGGUGAGUGGCGUCCGGGUGAGUAACACGUAGGAACCUACCUUUAGUUUGGGAUAACUUUGGGAAACUAAGGCUAAUACCGGAUACGCUUUGCAGCUUGGCGCUGCAAAGGAAGAUUUAUCGCUAAAAGAUGGGCCCGCGGUGGAUUAGCUUGUUGGUGGGGUAAAGGCUUACCAAGGCAACGAUCCAUAGCUGGUCUGAGAGGAUGAUCAGCCACACUGGGACUGAGAUACGGCCCAGACUCCUACGGGAGGCAG